rnacentral:lncRNA from 1 species
UGGCGUGUGCCACCCAGAAGGCCACGCUAGCAAUCCACGUGACCGCGAUCGGAUGGUCCGAAUUUGUUCCCUGUGUGUGGACGGUCUGGAUCCAUUUCUCUUUUAAAAUGCGAUCGUACGGUUCAUAACAAAUUGUGAUGAACGGUCCAGAUUCACUUCCUAUUUAAAUGCGAUCGAAUGGUCCAAACUAAAUCGCGAUGAAUAGUCCAGAUUCACU